rnacentral:miRNA from 1 species
UCAAUGGUCGACUAUUCUGAC